ensembl:lncRNA
GGGAGGAGGGGAGGGAGAGGGAAUUGAGACUGACAUGUAAAACAAUCUUGUUUCUAAUUCAAAUUUUAAAAAAAAACAAAACAAAAAACCCCUUUUUUCUGAUCAAUGUCUUGUGCUUUUCAGCAUACAGGUGUUGAACACACUAUAUUACAUUUAUAAAGUAUUUAAGAUUUUCAAUAUUAUUGUAAGUAGAAUAAAUGGUCAUUCAACUUCAUUUUCCAGUGAUUCAUUAUUGCUAUAUAGAAAUAUACUUGCCGGGUGGUGAUGGCACAGACCUUUAAUCCCAGCAAUCGGGAGGCAGAGCCAGGUGGAUUUCUGUGAGUUCAAGACCAGCCUGGUCUACAAGAGCUAGUUCCAGGACAGCCUCCAAAGUCACAGAGAAACCCUGUCUCAAAGAAAAAAACACCCUUUUUAAUUUCUCCUUUCUAAAACUUAUGCUAUCUACUUAUUAUUCCCACUUUAAUACAUUUAAUUAUUUGGCUAGGACGAUAACUGAAUUGGACAGAAGUUAUGAGAGUCUUCUACUAUUUAAUCUUCUGCAUUUAAGAUGCCAUUGGUAGUUUUUUGUUUGGUUUGGUUUGGUUUGCUUUGUUUUGCCACAGGGGCAAGGAGUCUCCUGUGUGCAGUCCAGGCUAGCUUUGAACAAAAUAAGGAGUUGAGGCUGUCCUUGAACUUUUGACCCUCCUAUUUCAACAUUUUAAGUGGUGUGAUGACAGACAUGUGCCACCACACCCAACUCAAUGUAGGUUUUAAAUUUACAGUGAUGAUCUUUAUUUAUCAAGUUCAAAAGUUCUCCUCUAGUUUUAUACUGUGAGUAUUUUUAGUUCCAAUUGUCUGUAUUUCACCACACUGAAAAAUGCUGGGGCUGUACAUCUUGGUUCUUUUUUUACCCUAUAAUAUUAUGUAGUGUGCAUUGUGUCGGAGUCAAAUAGUCUUCAGUUCUACCAACCUCUAGUUUUGUGACCUUGUUCAGGUUUUGUAUCUGCCUUAAUUUCCUCACUUGUGCCAGAAGGCUAACUACUUUACCAUUCAGGGUAAUCACAAAUGGCAUUAGUUUUGCCUGCUUGUGUCUCACACAUAGUAGGGGCGCAAAAUUUUUUUUUUUCUGAGACAGGGUUUCUCUGUGGGUUUGGAGGCUGUUCUGGAACUAGCUCUUGUAGAUCAGGCUGGUCUCGAACUCACAGAGAUCCGCCUGCCUCUGCCUCCCAAGUGCUGGGAUUAAAGGCCUGUGCCAACAAUGCCUGGCCCCCAAAAUAAAUUGUUACCAUCCUCCAUCCCUUGUUUGGGCUUUAUAAAGACAUUCAUACCUGCCUUAUAGUUCACAAUAGGGAAGGUUCUUUUAAAAUGGAGUUUGGUUACAUACAAAAAUGAGAAUCUCACCUGUGGAUGACAGAUUCUGCCUGGGUUGCAGUCAUAACACAGCAUCCAAUCAGAUAUUUGUCUCUGCUGACUCCAUUAUUCCUAGCCCAGACUUAUUGGGAUUAGUAUGUUGUCCCAACCAUUACAACUACAGUCCUACUCCAAAGAUACCUAAUGACAUCGUGUUCACAGCUUCCAGUUGUGUAUACAGGAAGAAUGAUUCAGAAGUCUUGGCACCCACUGAUAUGUUUAAAAAAAACUUUAUUGUUGGUCUGUCUGUGUGUCUUCUGAAGCUAGAUUCUCCAGAUCUGAACACAGCCAGAGUCAAGGGUACCGGGCCAAAGAUAUCACGUAAAAAUGAUGUUAUAACUCCCAGAGCAGUGAUUCCAAAUGCCAGCCCUAGAGCAAAUGCCUGAUAAAGUGUUUCACUCAGAUUUCUAUAGGACAAGAAAUAUCAAAAUGAUUUGUAAGUUCAUAAAGCUAAAUCAAGCUAAAUGUACUAUUCCUUAGUCUAUCAUUGUGUCUCUUCUGUCUUUGAGGUGUAAAAUGUUCCCACAUGGUGUUUGUAUUCAUGUGUGUGUUAUUUACAUGUGUAUGUGUUUGCACACAUGUGUGCAUAUAUGUAUAUGGAGGCCAGAGGUUGACCUUGGGAAUCUUCUUCUGCUCCUGUCAACCUUAAGCUUUUAACAUCACCACUCAGGAGGUAAAGGCAGGCAUGUCUCUGUGAGUUCGAGGCCAGCCUGGUCUGCAUAGUGUGUUCUAGGACAGCCAGAGCUGCUUAGUGAAACACUGUCUGUCUGUCUGUCUGUCUGUCUGUCUCCCACCCUUCCUCCCCUCUCUGUCUCUGUCUGUCUCUGUCUCUGUCUCUGUCUCUGUCUCUGUCUCUCUCUCUCUCUCUCUCUCUCUCUCUCUCUCACACACACACACACACACACACACACACACACACACACACACACACAAAGGGAAAUUACUAAUUCAGUGGAUCUGAAUGCUGUGAAGAGUUGGACAAGUUGAAAAAAUAUAUAAGGAUGGAUAAAUUCCCAGACAGAGAAUAAAGAGGAACAUUUGAAUCCUGUGGGGAAGAACAUAGGAUCUGUAGGCAGCCUGAUGGAGGACUUAAAGAUGGAGUCUUGGGUGAACAGAAGCUCAGCCACAUGGCAGAGGCUUUAACUUUCUAAGUCUCCAUUUUCCUAGCUAAUCUGAAAGGCUCCCCUAGCCUGGCCUCCCUGGACUGUUUGCUUAUGGAAAGAACACUAAUGGAUGGCAGAAUGCUGAGUAAACCAGGUCAUCCCACACAGGCUUAAGAAGAGACUCUUUGACUUCCUUGACGAUUGAGAAGACAAUUUUUCCAGACACAUGACAUUGCUCCAGGCAAUCCUUCCACUGAGAAGAGUUGAUGGAAAUGUACAGGGCCUGUAGGCUAAAGACUGUCAGAACAUGUUAUCACCAAAUAAAUCUGGACAAUCCCAUUUUAAAUGUCCUGUUCCCAAACCUAAUGACUAGGCAGAGAGGCUCAGUGAGAUGAAGGAUGUAAUGCAGGGUCAAAGGUUCACAAAAGGACAGCCAGGGGCUACACUGUGCCUCAAGAUUCUGGGUAAAUGUCUCUGACACUAUUUGUGUUGCAGGAUGUGGUGGCAGAAAUUCAGAAGCUAUUUCAUCUGAAGACUUAUCCUAGCAACAACAAAAUUUUCAACUAAUAAUAAGUUAUUUUCAUCGCCCAGAGGCCUGGGUUAGAUGGCAUUCAGAUCAUAGCCAGUUUUCCCCUGUUUUUUUGUUUUUUUUUUUUCUAAACAGGAUCUCACAUAGCCCAGAUUAGUCUUGAACUUGCUUUGUAGCCGAAGCUGGCCUUCAAUUCCUGAUCCUCCUCUGCUUCUUGAGUGCUGCAAUUACAAGCAUAUGACAUCACUCCUGACCCAGUUGGAGGAGGUUUAAAAAAAAAUUGUGUGUAUUUUUCUUUUCUUUUUUUUCUUUUUGGUUUUUCGAGACAGGGUUUCUCUGAGGCUUUGGAGGCUGUCCUGGAACUAGCACUUGCAGACCAGGCUGGUCUUGAACUCACAGAGAUCUGCCUGCCUCUGCCUUCCGAGUGCUGGGAUUAAAGGCAUGUGCCACCAAAGCCCGGCUGUGUUUUUCUUAUUUUACUUUAUUUCAGCAGGGUCUUAUGGAGCCCAGGCUGACCUCAAACUCACUCUGUAUAUAAUGCUAGCUUCUGCUUCAUUUUCUAGGUGCUUAAACUAUAGGAGUGAGCCCCCACACCAGCUGAAACUUCUUUUCUUUAAUUUCUUUAUUUUAUUUUAUUUAUUUUUUGAUACAGGGCUUUUCUCUCUAACAGCCUGGCUGUCCUGGAGCUUGCUUUGUAGACCACACUGGCCUCAGACUCACUGAGAUCCACCUGCCUCUACUUCCCAAGUGAAAGGUUCAGGCUUUAAUGCUGAUCCGCUCUACCUCUUUAAGAGACAGACCCUGCCCCCUGACAACAGUCAGGGCACACACAGGGAUGUGCCAUCACCACAUCACCCACCACGCAUUUACAGCCUGCGUGAGGACUCUGGGCAUGCGUGGAGCCUCAGUGCACAUGUGCAGUCUUCCCUUUAAAAGUUCCAACUUCCCUGCUUCUCUCUCUCUCUCUGCUUCUUCCUCUUCUCUCUCUCUCUACUCUUCUCUCUCUGUUUGCUUCUGCUUCUUUUCUCUCUCUCUCUCUCUCUAUGGCGACCGGCCAUGGUGGUCAGCCAUUUACCAUGUUACUCUUCUCUCUUAGUCUCCCUACUCUGUCGGGCUUACAAUAAACUAGUUAAAAUGUCUCUUAAUAUGUCUCAUCUUGCACCUCCUCUUUUUCUUUAUAUGCAAUUUAAACAAAAACAUAACACCAAGUGCUGAGUUUAAAAUUGUGUGCCAACACCGCCCGGUCUCUUUUCUUUUUUUAAUACCAUUUAUCAUGUAUUGAAUGCUACACAGGGAGACUAUUUUAGGUGCGUUAGUGUUUGCCUCACUGAAUCCUUCCAGUCAUCCUGUCAGGAAGAUGCUGUCCUUAUCUUCAUUUUUAAGAUUAAGAAACUGAGGCAUUAAGAACUAAGGACCUUGGCCCCAGCGUGGUGGUACAGGUGGAUCUCUAUGAGUUCAGGCCAACAUGGUCUACUGAGUGAGUUCCAUAUAGCCAAGGCUACAGAGAGAAACCCUGUCUUGAAAAAACAAACAGGCAAAACUAAGAACCUGACACAAGGUUACAACUUAUUUUUAGUUUUUUGUACAGCAGUUCUCAAUCUGUGGGUAUUAAUCCUUUGGGGGAGGUUGAAUGACCCUUUCACAAGGGCCCCCCAAGACCAUCAGAAAACGCAGAUAUUCGCAUUAAAAUUUAUAACAAUAGCAAAAUUACAGUUAUAAAGUAGCAACAAAAAUAAUUUUAUGGGUCGUCACUGCUCAGAGUCAUCUGACACAAGCGACCUGCGUGCCGAACCGUUCGGCGGCGGGAUCUGACACACGGAGGCCCAGUGACAGCUCUGCCUCCAACUGCUGGCCCAGUGGGACCUGGCACGCCCAAACAAUGCCGACACCCAGGUAACAGUGACACCUCCAUCCAUGAGAAGAGGACCAAAAUCACAGUAUUGGAUCUGUUUGCAUCUACCAGAAGAGAACCUUGGUCCCACACCCACCAGAACAAGAAACUCUUGCUACACCCACCAGAAGAAAGGAUGACAAGAGGACAAGUCAGAAACUGGAAGCAGCCUAGAUGCCCCUCAACCAAAGAAUGGAUAGAGAAAAUGUGGUAUAUUUACACAAUGGAGUACUACUCUGCAGAAAAAAAACAAUGGAAAUCUUGAAAUUUGCAGGAAAAUGAAUGGAACUUGAAGAAACCAUUCUGAGUGAGGUAACCCAAUCACAAAAAGACAAACAUGAUAUGUACUCACUCAUAUGUGAUUUUAGACAGAGAGUAAGGGAUUACCAUCCUACAAUCCACACUGCCACAUAUACUAGUAAACAAAGAAGACCCUAAAAGAGACAAACUUCGUCCCCUGGAGAAGGGGAAAGGGUCACCAUCCCCUGAGCAAAUUGAGAACAUGGGAAGAGGGGGAGGAAGCUACGAGAGUAAGAAAGGAAGAAAAGGAAGAAUGCAGAGGUCAUGAGGGAGCAGAAAUUUUGAGUCAGGUGUAGAUUAGAAGAAAGGACCUAUGACAAGUAGGAUUUUAGUUGGGGGGUGGUAGAGGAGGAAGGGAGGGAGAAGGGAACUGGGAUCGUCAUGUAACUCAAUCUUGCUUGUAAUUCAAAUAUAUAUAAAAAUAAAUAUAAAAAUAAUUUUAUGUAAGGGGUCACCACAACAUGAAGAACUGUAUUAAAGGGUUGCAGUAUAGGAAGGUUAAAAACCACUGGUUUGGGAGGUUGUAUUUGCUCUUUCAGCUGGUUGCUCUGUGUAGGAAGCCGUUUUCCUGCAUUAUAAUGGUGCCUAAAGACACCAAGAUGUAAAUUACUUCACAGGCGCUGGGUAAUCUCCAUUCCUUUGAUCUCUGCCUAUCCCGUGGCUCAUUUUGGCCUGAGGAGCUAAAGCCAUUCAUAGGGUAACACGUCCCAGGCGGCUGGUCAGCCUUUAUAAGGGAUGGUUUUCUUAGUUUAGUGUCUCUGCUCGGGGAAGCUUAUGCUCUCCUCUCAAGAUGCAUUAAAGCUUGUCUGCAGAAGGAUCCGAGUGUCCCGUGUGUGAUUUCUUGCUGGCGAGAAAUACAGAGCACGCGCGGGACAUAUGGUGCCGAAACCCGGGAACAUAUGAACAUCUCCAGCACCGCGGAGACCCCUUGGCUACAAGGCGGAUUCAGAACUGCAGGAUGGUAAAUUCGGAGAGGUAUGUUUUUUCUGGACUUUGGCUUGGGAAUGUUGCUAUUGUGGGAGGUUAAUAUAGAGGCUUCUAUGCUUUUACUAGGAGCUAUUUUGACUUUUCUCACUGUUGUAGCAAUCUUAAAGAAGUCCAGAAUUAUAUAUCAGAAACCGAAUAUGGUGAGAGAUGGGGCGCGCCUAACAAUAAAAUAUAAGAAAAAAGGACCUCCCGGGAUGUCUAGUGACAUGGGAGUAUGUGUAAGAAGAGAAACUGCAACGUAUAAGAAAAAAGGACCUCCCGGGGUGUCUAGUGACAAGGGAGUUAUGUGUAAGAAGAGAAACUGCAACGUAUAAGAAAAAAGGACCUCCCGGGGUGUCUAGUGACAAGGGAGUGUGUAUAAGAAGAGAAACUACAACAAAAAGCUCAAAAGAUAAAGUUUUAGAGGAAACAGCUCAGCUAGAUGAAAA